UUUAUCCUUGUCUUUGGGGAGCAUAGUGUUCAAUGACCGUAUAGUGAGGGCACUGAUGCUGACACCAUAAACAAAAUAUAUCCGCAUCCGUUGGUUGCUCUACAAUGACUUCAACGGGAUGCAAUUUUUGAAAGC